UACGUAGGGUGCGAGCGUUGUCCGGAAUUAUUGGGCGUAAAGAGCUCGUAGGCGGUUUGUUGCGUCGGCUGUGAAAACCUGCGGCUUAACUGUGGGCUUGCAGUCGAUACGGGCAUCACUUGAGUUCGGCAGGGGAGACUGGAAUUCCUGGUGUAGCGGUGAAAUGACGCAGAUAUCAGGAGGAACACCGGUGGCGAAGGCGGGUCUCUGGGCCGAUACUGACGCUGAGGAGCGAAAGCGUGGGGAGCGAACAGG
rnacentral:rRNA from 1 species